AUUUGCAGAGAAAAUUAGCCGGCAAAUUGCAGCACUCGGCAUUAGCGACGCAUCGGGACGCGAGCGUCGGAUCUUCGCAUUCGUUUAUGUCUAAAAUCAUGGAACCGUUAAAUCAUUAGAUUACACUGUUCAUUGUGCAAUAAAAUCGAAUCAAAAGGAGUGCUUGCCCGAGUAAUAACUUAUAAGUUAUAACUUAUAAAUUAUAACUGAACAAAACAAUAAGGAAGAAUGAUUUUAUAUUUAUAUCUAGGUCUGUUACUUUUAACUGCAAGCACUUACCUUCGCAGGUGAAGCCAUCUCCCCGGUAACCGGGGUAACAAGAGCAGUGGAAACCACCAAGAGUAUUCGUACAACUGGAUGGACAUUAAAUAAAUGGGAAACCGGAAUUGCUGUUAUUUAGUUAUUUAAAACAUGUCCGAUAAGACAGUCAGCAUUUAGAUUGAUGGUAGGAUUUAACAACUGGAAUUCCAAAUCCAAGUCUCAAUCUAAGAGCUAUAUACUAUUUUACGAUCCUUCACAACGGAUUCUAAGUGCUCAUCGGUCUAAGUCAGCGUAUAGGUCUUUUUGUGGUAUAAAAUAAUAAAAAUAGCUAAAGUAAUAGUAAUAAGGAAGAGAAUUAUUAUUACCUGGCACUUGACAAUUACAUCCGCCGAAACCGUCAUUGCAAUGACAAACUGAGUCAAGACAAACUCCGUUCUGACAUUUUGUACCGUCCUCUUUAGUACAAUCAUCUGAAAUUAAAUUAGAAUUAAAGAAUCAAGUAAACUCUUGACGUAAAGAGGAAUGAAGUUGUUUCAUGAGCUAAGAGAUGUGUGCGUGACUGGACGAUCACAAACUGCGUGACGAGCGUCGGAUCAUAACGGUAACGCCUUUGCCCACGCGGAAGACUACCAACAUGAGUACAUGGGUACGACUUGCAGAAUAAGAAUUACUGAAUUACUGAAUUACAGAAUACCUGAGAACUCACAGAGUUUAUGACGUUCUCAUGACCGGCGUAAUGUUACUCUGGGCAAUCACGACAAUCGUGCUCCGAUGGGUCAAGCUACCAAAUCAAUUCCCUAGAUACAUUGGAAAAUCUGAUGCUGAUGGCUCAUGGGAUGGGUAUCAUCAUCAUUAUCCUCCACUUAUCAUCCUGAUGGGUAUGUACUAAUGUAAUCUAAGAAGUUGGAAUAUCAAGAAACAUCUUCCAUAAUUUCAAACAAAUUUGGACAUUGGAAAAAUUUAUUCAAUUGUAAUAGGAAAUACUUAUGUCUUCGAAGAAUUUAGUUGCGGACUGCAUCCAGAUGUCUUCACAAUACUUGAUGAAUAAUAACAAGAAAAGCUUGUAACAGAAGGAAAGUCUAGGCCCAUAACCUUUUGUGUCUCUCAUAUUUUAUUCAAUAUUUAAGAUGAAACGUAAAAUAUUAC